UACGUAGGGGGCGAGCGUUGUCCGGAAUCAUUGGGCGUAAAGCGCGUGUAGGCGGCCCGGUAAGUCCGCUGUGAAAGUCCAGGGCUCAACCCUGGGAUGCCGGUGGAUACUGUCGGGCUCGAGUCCGGAAGAGGCGAGUGGAAUUCCUGGUGUAGCGGUGAAAUGCGCAGAUAUCUGGAGGAACACCGGUGGCGAAGGCGGCAUCCUGGACCGGCAUUGACGCUGAGGCGCGAAAGCCAGGGGAGCAAACGGG
rnacentral:rRNA from 1 species